rnacentral:rRNA from 1 species
GGAGACCGGGGAUAAACUCCCCAAAGGGGUGCUAAUACCGGAUGUCCUCAUCGGACCGCAUGGUCUGAUGAGGAAAAUGGAUUCCGCUCCAGGAGGGCCUCGCGGCCUAUCAGCUUGUUGGUGAGGUAACGGCUCACCAAGGCGUCGACGGGUAGCUGGUCUGAGAGGACGAUCAGCCACACUGGGACUGAGACACGGCCCAG